CGCGUGAGUGAUGAAGGCUUUCGGGUCGUAAAACUCUGUUGUUAGGGAAGAACAAGUGCUAGUUGAAUAAGCUGGCACCUUGACGGUACCUAACCAGAAAGCCACGGCUAACUACGUGCCAGCAGCCGCGGUAAUACGUAGGUGGCAAGCGUUAUCCGGAAUUAUUGGGCGUAAAGCGCGCGCAGGUGGUUUCUUAAGUCUGAUGUGAAAGCCCACGGCUCAACCGUGGAGGGUCAUUGGAAACUGGGAGACUUGAGUGCAGAAGAGGAAAGUGGAAUUCCAUGUGUAGCGGUGAAAUGCGUAGAGAUAUGGAGGAACACCAGUGGCGAAGGCGACUUUCUGGUCUGUAACUGACACUGAGGCGCGAAAGCGUGGGGAGCAAACAGGAUUAGAUACCCUGGUAGUCCACGCCGUAAACGAUGAGUGCUAAGUGUUAGAGGGUUUCCGCCCUUUAGUGCUGAAGUUAACGCAUUAAGCACUCCGCCUGGGGAGUACGGCCGCAAGGCUGAAACUCACGGAU
rnacentral:rRNA from 1 species